rnacentral:lncRNA from 1 species
CCCUUUGUUGUGCCCAAUUUCUCCCAUUUGGAACAUCUGUAUUUACUCAAUUACUUAUACCCCCAUUGUAUUUAGGAAGUAACUAGCUUGCUUUUGAGUUUACAGGCUCAUAGGCAGAAGAGACUUGCCUUGUCUCAGAUGAGACUUCGGACAGUGGACAUUUGGGUUAAUGCUGAAAUGAGUUAAGACUUUGGGGGACUGUUGGGAAAGCAUGAUUGGUUUUGAAAUGUGAGGACAUGAGAUUUUGAGAGGCCAGGGACAGAAUAAUAUGGUUUGUCUGUGUCCCCACCCAAAUCUUAACUUAAAUUGUAUCACCCAGAAUUCCCACAUGUUGUGGGAGGGGCCCAGGGGGAGGUAAUCGAGUCAUGGGGGCCAGUCUUUCGUGUGCUAUUCUUGUGAUAGUGAAUAAGUCUCAUGAGAUCUGAUAGGUUUAUCAGGGUUUCCGCUUUUGCUUCCUUCUCAUUUUCUCUUGGCGCUGCCAUGUGAGACGUGCCUUUCAUCCCCUGCCAUGACUCUGAGGUCUCCCUAGCCCUGUGGAACCAUAAGUCCAAUUAAGCCUCUUUUCCUUCCCAGUCUCGGGUAUGUCAGCUGAGGUCACUUUGUAAGGAAAAUUGAGAUUGUGUUCCCAAGAUUCCAGUCACUUCCCAGGGACACUGGCUCGGUUCUUGUUCUUACCCAGUUCACUGUCUCAGCUUCCAGAGGACAGAACCUUACCUCACCGGAUCCUUAACAGCUCCUCAUUCCCUGCCUCCUCACCACCCUACCACCUCAGCUGCUGGAAACCAUCAUUCUAUUCUCUAUGUCUAUGAAUUCAACUUAUUAGAUCCACAAAGAGGUAAGAUUAUUCAAUAUUUGUCUUUCUGUGCU